UACGGAGGGUGCAAACGUUGCUCGGAAUCAUUGGGCGUAAAGCGCACGUAGGCGGCUCGUUAAGUCGGAUGUGAAAUCCCUCAGCUCAACUGAGGACGUGCAUCCGAAACUGGCGAGCUUGAGUACUGAAGAGGAUCGCGGAAUUCCCGGUGUAGAGGUGAAAUUCGUAGAUAUCGGGAGGAACACCAGUGGCGAAGGCGGCGAUCUGGGCAGAUACUGACGCUGAGGUGCGAAAGCGUGGGGAGCAAACAGG
rnacentral:rRNA from 1 species